GGGGUUGUAGCUCAGUUGGGAGAGCGCUUGAAUGGCAUUCAAGAGGUCAGGGGUUCGAUUCCCCUCAGCUCCA
rfam:Acetobacter sp. CAG:977 genomic scaffold, scf81